GGACUGGGAAAUGGUCCUGAACAGGGUGUUUGUAUUUCUGAUGCCUGAUGAAACGGAGGCUGAGAGAAAUUAAGCAGCUUGCCUAAGUCAUACUACUAGGAAAGGACCAGCCUUUUCACAUGCUUUGAAGAGCAUCAAAAGGUCCCAGUGAGAAGGACAGAAGCCCCCAGUUUAGACUACUUUUGAAAACUACUCCUGGCGUUGGAGACUGUCAGACAGACACUUUGGUAUUGUCAGGGUUCCAUGCACUAAUUUGAAUUCAUCAAAGCCAGUUGUGGCUUCCCAGAUGGCGCUAGUGGUAAAGAACCCACCUGCCAAUGUGUGAAACGUAAGAGAUGCUGGUUCCUCCCUGGUUGAAAGGAUACCCUGGAGAAGGAAAUGGCAACCUAAUCCAGUAUUCGCGCUUGGAGAAUCCCAUGGACAGAGGAGCCUGGUGGGCUACCGCCCAUAGGGUUGCAAAGAGUCGGACACAACUGAAGCAGCUUAGCAUAGGAGCCAGUUGUGGACCUAACUCAUCAGGCUCGGGGGCAGUGGUUUCAUCAAUGUCUUGCCCUUGCUGACCCUCCCCCCAGGCAGCUGAUAACAUUCCAGAUUGUGGUUGCUCAAUCCAUCUGGACAUUGUAGGGCAGAUCCCUGCUAUGGCACAGUCAUCUGCAGUGAACACAGAAGAGGCCAAGCAUAGCAGGAGCCCAACUCAGUGAAGCUCCUCGGUAGAAGCGAAACGAAGAAAACCCAGAGCAAGGGAAGUGACAAGAGGCCCAUCAUGCUGGAAACCAGGACAGUGAAAAACGAACUCAGCAGAAAGCUCACACGGCUCAGUCUCAGAUUCCAGAAGACCUCCGGUUAAGGUCAAGCUACAGCAUGCAGUGCCAGUUCAACAAAGAUAUAAAACUACAGCUGACCACGGAAAAUAUCAUUCACCCUUAGAUGGACACUGCUAUAAGGACUCUGAGGCUUGAGACUAGCAAGAGGGGGAGGCCCAAUACCCCUCGCUGUCCCAGUUCAGCAGGAAGUAGCCAGAAAGACCUUGACGCCCCUAUUCCCAAAGAAUUGGGCCUCCCAUCUCUUGAGGGGGGAAUGUUAGGUAGUUAGAAUAGGGAAAAGGAGUCCAAAAUGGUGGUGGCUAAAAGACAAGGAAGGGAAAAGCCUGCGAAAAUAGAACAGAGGAAGGUCAAAGGAAGGUCCGAGGAUUGGAAUGAGGACUUCUGGUAGAACAGUACUCCUGCCUAAACCCAAUUUGCAUAGGGCAGGCCCAGGGGGGAGAAAAAAACAUAUAAAAAGAGGAGCCAAAGGGCUCGCUCUCUCUCUCUCUCUCUCUCUCUCCCUCUCUCCCUCUCUCCCUCUCUCCCUCUCUCCCUCUCUCCCUCUCUCCCUCUCUCCCUCUCUCUCUCUCUCUCUCUCUCUCUCUCUCUCCCUCUCUCCCUCUCUCCCGCGCACUGAGGCGCUCUUCUCUUUGCGUCUUUGGAUUGAUGUGCCUUCACGCCUCAAAGAUGGAUUGGCCUAUCUUCUAAAUAAAAUAGAGCUGUAACACUGAACUGUAACACUGAUUUGUCUAAGAGCUAUAACAUGGUCCGUUCGAGACCUGAGAGCUAUAACACGGUCUGUCCAAGGCCCGAGAUCUGUGACCUGCCGAGGGGGUUUAAUGUCCAUCACUCCAAAUCCUUGGUGUGACAAGACAAGAGCUGAGGAGCAUACACUCGCCUGACAAAGCCAACUACUUUUCCUUCACUGUAGAAUGAGGUCAGUGAAACAAGCAACGGUGAUUCCAUUUAUUCUUUCAUUCAUUCCACACAUACUUACUGAGCAGCUCCUACCUAAGCACUUCUUAAAUCAAAUCUAUGAUAAAUUCUGGAAGUAAAUUAGGAGAAAAAGUUGACCAGUUUCCAGGAAGACAUUUAAAGUUAGAAAGAGGGAUGUUGGUGUUUGAGCCAGUUUGUACCAACCGCUUAGAGCUGAUUCUGUUCAUCUCUUAUCUCUGAAUUCAGUGACCUUGCAGCAGCUUGAAAUUGGAUGUGGUGGAAGUAUUUACACCAUGGAAAUUGGUACAUGCUAUAAAUCAUGGUUUGUUUGUUUUUUUCCCCCUGCUGCUGCUGCUGCU